rnacentral:tRNA from 1 species
CAGGGGGUAGUUUAAUUUAAAAUAUUAGCUUUGGGGGCUAGUGAUGAGUUGUUGAUUUCUUUUUCCUGA